rnacentral:rRNA from 1 species
UACGUAGGGUGCAAGCGUUGUCCGGAAUUAUUGGGCGUAAAGAGCUCGUAGGCGGCCUGUUGCGUCCGCUGUGAAAUCCCGGGGCUCAACCCCGGGCGUGCAGUGGAUACGGGCUGGCUGGAGGCAGGCAGGGGAGAACGGAAUUCCUGGUGUAGCGGUGGAAUGCGCAGAUAUCAGGAGGAACACCGAUGGCGAAGGCAGUUCUCUGGGCCGUAACUGACGCUGAGGAGCGAAAGCGUGGGGAGCGAACAGG